AACCGCAAAAUCAGACAGUCUCAGAUUGUAUUUUACAUUUUUUUUUUUCUUAAUGGAAAACUCCUUGAUGUCAAGUCCAAGUAUGAAGCUGUUCAAGGUGAGAAUGAGGAAAACCAAGGAUACAAAAAGUCUUUAUUCAUAUACCAACAACUCUUUCAAUGAUCAGAUUCUUGAAACCAUAAAAAUAUACAACAGAUUGUAAAUACAACAUAAAAGUAUGCAGACCUUGUCCAAUGCUAUAAUGUUUUUGAUAUUAUAGCAAGCAUGCAACUAACUCUAGUAGAUUGAACAAGCUAAUUCUAUUAUUUUCUAUUUAGAUGAGGAAGGAGGGCAACCUACUUAGUCAUAUCAGAGGUUAGUGAAAUUCAGGUUCCUCCAUGGCUCAUAUUCCAAAAAUCAACUUCAUGUUCAAGAAUACGCAGGAAUGUCGCUUCAGCAUUUGUGAUGACAUCAUCAGAAGCCUUCUCUAGCUGUCUAUCAGCAAUUUUUCUGAGAGAAUUGCAGUACUGACGAAAACCUUCAUUGCCCCAUCUUUGGCAAGUUUCCUGAAGUUCAGGUGGGGUUUUACUACCAUCUUCCAGGCAGUGUGCAAAACUCUCUUGAUAGACAGCUUCGAUCGCCCAAAAAGCUACGAUUGCAACAGCAUAUUCAACUUCCAGGCACAUUAAGCUCUCAAGAAAUCUGCAAUAGCAGGUAAAAAUAAGUUUGCUUUAAGAGUUUAAUCAUGAAUAUAUUUAGGCUCAAGGCAAAGGACCAUGUCCAGUGAUCAAGAAAACAAUUUCCAAGAGCCAUUGAAGAUGUCCUCAUGCAUCAAAAAGAGAAACAAAAGAUUUAAACUAGACCUUCAACUGAAGCAUUCUUUUCUCAAACUCUGUAAUAAAUCUAUCUAAUUGAUCUAAACGAACCAGAAACUACCAAUUCAAUUCUUAACCCCCAACAUGAAACAACCAAAGUAAAGGUAAAACUAUUUAUGCACAGCUCACUGCACAUCUUUGGCACUACCAACUUUGACGUGAGCUUAAUGACAGAAAAAAGGAGCCAAAGAAGAGGUUCUCUCCUCCCAACUUUCAAUUCAAUUUCAGUUUCAGACACAAAUGUUUUACCAAUAGAACAAAUAAAAUGGCUAAAACUUAAUUCAAUACACCAGAAAAUAACUUCUGGGACAUCCGUUUAAUUUAGCAUAGCAUCUAAAUUAUCACAACCUGAUAUGCCUCAUUUAGAAGUAUUGACUUCUCGAUUUUCUAUGAUAAAAUCUUAUGUCUAGUCCGCAUUUAGUUACUACUAUUUUGUAAAUAUAAGAGUAGACCUAUAGUACGGCUUGGCUUGAGCUUUUUCAACAAACGAAGAAGCUAAACUUUUGGUGAGGCAUGUUUCAUAAACUCAGACACAUAUUGAAUAAAUCUGAGCUUGAGAUUAAAAUUACACUGACUCGAUAGAUGUGAGUGACACAAACUUGAUGUAUUCGCUUGUAUCUCAUUUCAGGUUUAGCUUGAUUGCUUGAAUUUGAUCAGACCUGAUUAGUAUGUCAAGCUUAUAUAAAUCCAAGCCCAAGCUUCUUUAGGAUAUAUCAACCAAGCUUGAAAAUGUACAUAAAGCUUGAAUCAGUCUCAUUUGAAGCUCAAUCCUUCUUUCAGAUUAAUCAAGCCAAGCUCGAGAAACAGAGUUCGGCUGAGCUUGACUCACUACAGCUUUAUAUUGGAGAUUAGGAUACCUCAUUACUAAGUGUCAACUUCUUGUUAACUUUGAAACUAGUUGAAUAAGUAGUGGCAAAUCAGAAAUUAAGAAGAAUACAAUAAGAAAAUUUUCCUUUGAAUAAGUUUUGAAGCUACGGAUUAUGUUUUAAAGCUCAAAUGUGCAACUUACAAAAUUCUGCAAUCUGAAUGCUUUGAACUUGGCUACCGAAUUUGAGUUCAUGGGACUAAUGGCAACUAAUACUAUAAGAAACUUUUCCAUGAUAGAAGUUUUGAAGCUCAAAUUUGUAACUUACAAAAUUCUGCAAUCUGAAUGCUUUGAACAUGGUUAGUGAAUUUGAGUUCAUGGGACUAAUAGUAACUUCUUCCAAAGUUAAUAUGCAUUCCAUAAAUCUUUGAAAUCAAUCAUACCAAGCCUCGAUAUAUCUUCAAAGAUCUGAAUAUUUAGUUCUUUAAUACCGUCCAUCAAUACGAGGAAGAAAGAAAGAACUGGAUUCAAUCAAGAAACAUAUCUACCUAUAAAUGACCCCAAAGAUGAAAAAUAAAACACAUCUAUUCAUUGGAUUAAUGAUCACUAGGACCCUGUGGAAGGCUAGCAAGGAUAAUAAGUUGACACCUAACAAUGAGCAGUCCUUAUCGCCCAUAUUCAUGAAAAAGUGCCAUUAAACUCGGGCUAAAUUGUACGUUAGACCUUCUAAACAUUGGUAUUUUACUUUAGCUUCUCAAAGAAAGACAUAAGAUUGUCACAUAUAUACAUAUUUCCAUGAGCUGUACAGGCACUAAAAUUAAAAAAAAAUUUCUAAUAAAUCACAGUAACAAGGAUAAUCAAAAGCAAAAACGCUUAGUAAAAACCACAUAUACAAAGAGGUUACCGGCAGUAUUCUUGAUUCGCUUUUUGAGGAACAAUAUUUGAGAGCUGAACACCCCACUUGGAGGCUUCUUUCUUGAACCAACCAACCUCAUCAUUUAAAGCAGCCAUACCUCCUAAUAUCACUUCCGUAUCAUUAUCAUCUGAUCCUUUCCAAACUUUAGUCAACACACUUGCUACAAACGGCACAAAAGCUCUAACGAAUAUGUAAUCCUGCCCCUGAGUUAUAUUUAUAUUGUUUUCAGACCAUGUCAGUGAAAGCAACAAAAUUUGAAUUCAAACCAAUCAAAUUUUCAUUUAAAGAACCAAACUUGUCUAAAGUUAGUAUGUAAUUUACGCCUAAAUGGUUAGAAAUUGGUCACAAAUGAUUAUAUUUGACCAAGAAAAUCUAUCAAAUUGUAUAUUUAGCAAGAAGGAAAUACCAGCCAUGCUUUGAAGAAGGAAAGGUCAACGUUCCCAUCUCGAAUGCUGCGGAUGAAAGGGUGUCUAGUAGCUCCAACGUACACCAAACGAUGCUUCUUCAGCCAUGUCUCAAUCAUGGUAGUCUUCUCCUCCAUUGUUUGCCACUCAACUUUCUCUCUGAGACUUUGUGAGUUCCAGAAUUAGUCUGCAGUUCCAAGUACUAAAAAUUGUUUCUUCUUGAACUCUUUCAUUAUCGCCUGCUUCUCUCUCUGUCCCCGCAAGUGUCAUAUUUGCCAGUCAAAGGUUUUCGCACGUGCCAAUAUUAAGAUGCACGUGUAAGCAUCCUGGAUUCGGUGCUGGGCCGUGCUGGCCUCCUGGGGUUGUGGUCCUGUGGAUUGCAGACACAUGUACUUUUGGUGAUUGAUGACCGGUCCAGGAAAAGCCUACUUUAUUGGGCUCCCUUGCCAGGCCCUUAACUUAUGAAAAACUAGCUUGACAGUUGACAGGAAGGGUGUUGGGCCUUCGUGUGGGUAAUAAUUUGGGUUAAAUUCAGUUGGUUCAAAACGUUGAGUUUGGCAAAACAAAAUGGACUGGAAAAUUGAAGGACUCGAUCGAUGUAUUAACAAAGAUCUUAGUUUCAUCACAAUUCAGAAAAAUGGAUUUUCUUUUUUUUUCUUUUAGAAAUUGUUGCUGAGCCUAAUGAAAUUGUAUUACUCUGACACCAGUACUUAAGUCCGUAUCUAAAUUCUAAUGACAGGGAAAGGCAAAUGGGCAAAUGGGCAAAUGGCAAUACAAAAGCACCAUAUGGAGAGCAGACAGCUUAAUACAAGUAUGAUUAGAUUUUGCAGCCAUCCAAAUUAGAAUAGAAAAUUAAAAGAAAAAACAGAAGUAACAGUAAGAACAUAUGAAUAGCAAAUUGAGAGAUCUAGUUUCUGUGACAACAUGGAAUGUCGACAUUAUGUACUCACAAGGUUGACAAAUUCAGUGGCCUUUUUUAUGUUGGUUAGUGGAAAAGUACUACUAUAUCAGAUUAUCAGUAUUCACCUUCUUCCUUCAGCUGAUGCUGCAUUGCCAGCUUGUACUUUACUGACUGUUUCCCAUCGGUUAUUCCCAGUAAUUUAUUUUGCAAAAGUUAUAUAUAUUGUAACUAAUUAUCAAAGAGAUGAAGACAUGGCUAUAUCAGGUAUUAUUUGGAAUGUUUCGAACUUUAGUGCAGAAAUGAUAAAUAGUUGGUUUUCCAUCAAUCUUUGAUCGACAGCUUCAUUGUAAUUAGAGGAACGAGGAGUCAGAUUCAAACACCCCCAAAAAGAAAUUUGUAGAGUUCAUGCCUCAAUCCUCAUAGUGACAAAUGACAGUGAUCAUGACUUUACAAUGCCUUUGGCUUUUUACUAAGCUCCUUUUGAUUAAAAAAACUUGCUAUCGUGUCUUCUGCUAUACUCUUGAAUAAAUCUUGCUUCUGAUAUUUUAGAUAAAAACCAAAAAACUUUCAAGGAUCACCUCUAUAGAGUUUUUUAAGUUUUAAGCAUAUUGUAAAUCCAACUUUUCUGAGCAGAAUCUGGCUUCUUUUUUUCAUUUUUUUUCCCAUUGUGAUUCUCUUAUGUACAAUCUUGUCUGAGUUAAUGGUUUUUUACGCAUCACAAUGUGCAAUUUUAUGAUUGACCAAUCUCUAUGAGAAAAUUUCAAGGUUAGACGACCUUAGUCCCUCCAAUCAUGUCAAUACCCUCUUCACCAAACUUGUUCUUACAUGUCUAUCCCCAAGUGACAAUGAUGUCACUACAUUUCUCUUUCCUCAUAGGAUCUCAUGCAAAUCCACUUGACCAUAUCAUUAUCUUCCCUUACUAUUCCAAUUACCUCAAACUGACUCAUCUGGAAUUUUCCAUGCUGAAAAAAUUAAGAUUGCAUCUCACUUCCUAAUUGAGUGGCUUUCAUAGGCUCCAGUCCCCUCCCUGUCACUUCCACCAUUUUGGCUACCAAACGUCUGAUGACUACCUCCUUCCAUAACUAUGACGUUGACCCAUCUGCCAAUGCCAAAGCCUUUCAGUUGGUCUCCUCGGAUCCUGACUUAUCAAAACGAGUGUUUUUCCACCCUGCAGAUGUUAUGAACGUGUCAAGUGGCUUAAAGGAGUAUGAAGUCAUUUUCUUGGUGGCUCUAGUAGGAAAGGACAAAGAGGAGAAGACUCGAGCAAUACGUCAUUUGGCUCAGCAUAUGGCUCCAGGAGCUUUUUUGUUGCUAAGGAGUGCACAUGGACAUUGAUCCUUGUGAUGAUCUUCAAGGGGCUUUGAAGUUCUUUCAGUGUUUCAUCCAACUGAUGAGGUCAUAAAUUCAGUAAUCAUUGCACGCAAACAUCUGAGUCCUAUUCUCUCAUGGAAUCAAGACUUGGACUCUACCACCUUACCUAGCAAAUGCUCGGAAAUUCAAUGUUUCAACCCUUUAAACCAUGGAAACAUAAUGGAAGUGUUAGCCAUUGAUGAGCAACUGUUGUGAAUCGUCUCCCUGUCUAUGUUCGUCAACAAAACCAACCUCAAAACGGGAUCCUUGAACUCUCCUUUUUCUUAUCCUUAAACUCAUCUUAUUGCAGACUUGACUUACGUACUUCCUUAGUCAUUCCAAAUUGAACUCUUGCACAAUAAUAAGUUUCUCCUUUGUCCUAAUCAAUUUUCCCCAAUAGGCCAUAGCCGAGGAAAAUAUAAUUUAUGAUAUCUGAUUAUUGUAAGCCAAUGAAUUGCACUUAUUAUCCUCCCAGCUUGGCCUUCUAGGAGGAAAAAUAACCUUUUCUUUUGUAACAUACUUGUAUGACAAGCACACUGCUGAACUCACAAUUCCUUCCUACAAGGAAAUAUCUCACUUUCCCCCUUUUUUUUUUUUGGAUGAAUAACUUAUAUCAUACCAAAAGCAAUGAAAGUUUUAAAGGAAGAGAGAACCGUGAAUCAGGAUAGGAUAACGGACUUAUGAUUUUGUCAAGACAACAUUAAAACAUGAGGAAUUAAGUUACACAGUGGGCUUUACAGCUUACUUACUGAGAGUUUUGUGUUUUACAUUGCAAUUCCUACUUGGCUUUAUUUGUUCACACAAUUUGGUAUUGGUAGUUUAGAAUAUGAUGUGUUUCAUAUUGGAUAAAAAAAUGUAAUUAUUGAUGAAUAAAAUUAAUUUUUGUAUUAAUUUUAUUUAUAUUAAAUAAUUAUAUUUGAAUAAAAAUAAUUAUUAUAUGACAAAUGAUCAUAACUAUUUUGAAUAUAAAUAUAUUAUUAUUUAUAAAGAUCAUGAUUAUACAAAAAAUUAUAACUAUCUGAAUAGAAUGUUAUAUCUGUUUAUUAAUUAUAAAUAAAUCUUUUAGUAUAAUUAUUUUCAUUGCUUCUGAUUAGAGAGUUUAAGAUUUUAUUGUAUUCUAAAAACAUAAUUAUCUUUAAAAAAAUAUUUUUCACAUUUCAAAGUCAAAAUUUUUUUUAUUAUUCCACUUCUCUUGUUUAUUUUUUCUAACACAAAGUGAUAGAAUUGGUGUCUCUUUCAAGUUGACAACUAGGGACUGCCCAUUCCUAUAACAUGCACAAGAAUUUCCAGGAGCAAACUGUUUGGCCACCAAAUCUGCUUGAUACAAAGAUGAAGAACUUAGCUCAGCUUCCACUGUCCAAAAUUUCUAAAACUGGUUCUCCAAGCUUCAAUCUUCAUGUCCCGGAAAAUCCUAUCCUCAUCCUUUGCUGCAACAAUAUUUUGGAUCUCUUGACCUAAGUAUGCAGCUUCCAAAAUCCUCCUGUUUUGAUCACACCGAUCCAUACAAUCUUCAUGGCAAUAAAAAAAUGCAGUAUAGAAAGAUAAUGCUUCAGAAAACCGUUCCACGAAAAUCGGAGAUGUGUGAUUUACCUCAAACUCUUUGACAACCACAAUCCAUGGAUUGAGGUUCUUGAGCAUUCUUAUUAUAGAUUCCAAGCAAUCAGGUUGUGUUAAAGUAUGUCUCAGCAGAGUCCGGGAGCCGAUGACAACGGCUUCACCAUCAUUUAACUCAAAGAUAUCCUCACUGAUAUCUUUGAGGUCUGUCACCAUAACAGCGUGAAACAAAAAGGGUAUGUUUAAGGCUUCAUGCCAGCAUUUUACCAGUCGCUUGCAUCUUAGUCUGUGAUGUUGUCCCAACAGCAGUUAUUUUUAGAAGCUCAAUUGGGCAUUCAUCACGAGUUGCAAGAGCUUGCAUCAAGGCUGUACAUUGUGCCCCACUUCUAAUUGCAAGAUCAACAAAAUGAACCUUUUUUGCUGAGGCUACAUUUUCUAUGAUUGCUUGGAGUCCAGAAAACUGUGUAACCUGAAUGAAGGGAAGUUUUAGGAAACAUGCAAUGAGAGCUCGGUUCAAACUCACUAUUGUCUCAUCCGGAUGUGAUAGUUCUCCUUCUCUGCUUUCCCUAGCCUUUGAUGAGGUUGCCCCAGUUUCUCCAUCAAUUCUCUCUCGAAGAGCCUUGCUAAAAUAAUACACCACUCUUUGAAUUGAAUUUCCAGCAUUAGAAGACAAGAAAUCACACAAGUUGAGGAACUUUCGCGCAUGAUCAAACUGUCGGUUUCCAACCUUGUCAGCAGAGGCUGGUAAAAGAAUUGCAAGCUCUACGUCUUUGAUCUCAUCUCCAGAAAGAUUAAAGCAACCACCAUCGAAGAAUUUGUUAAGCACAUAUAGAUCAAAACAUUCCAGGGAAGAAAUUUUGCUGAAACUUGCUCUUGCAAUUUUCAGAAGACUAGCAGCUGAUAAUUCACGGAUAGAAGCCAUGAUUGAGGUUAUAAUUUUUCUAGGAAAUGCAUAUUCUCUCUUUAGUUCAUAGAGAGCUGAAUCAUGUCACAGAUAUGGUUCAUAUUGAAGGAAUUCCAAGGCCCUUAACGUCCAAUAAGAAUAUGUUUCAUUUAUCUCUUCAAUAUAGCUCUAACCAUUUGCAAUCAGAGGGAGGAAUAUGAAUCAAGGGAGAGAAAAACAAAGAAAAAUACCAGAAAACUUGAAAUCCAAUGCCCUUUUACAUCCACGAGUGAGAUUGGCUUCUGGUUGUAUAGGCCAGUUUUAUCUCUCACAACAUACAGCCGGUUUUGAUGGCAACUCUUUAAUAUUUUUGAAACUUUUGGUUUGUUUUAUAGUCAUUUAAUGCAAAGAAAUGAUGAUAUGAAUCUUUCCAGAAAUUUGAUUUAGGAUACAUUGGUAAUAACAAAGGGAGUAAUUUUGCUAGGAAUCUUUAGCCGGCAAUAAUACAUGGAGUAAGUUAAAAUAAAGAAUAUUUUCUCUUGAAAAAGGACACAUAUAAAGAGCUGCUAAUGCAAACUUCAUGAAAGGAAAACUGAAGAUGUGGCCUGCUUCCUUUUUUUUUUCAUUCAUCAAUAGACAAAUGUUGUUUUGGGACUUCACCUGUAUAAAUGUAUGGUUAAUUUCUUCAUUCACCCUAGCAUAGAAUUUUGAAAUGGAUUGCUCUAAAAUGGGUAACAAAAUCUGCUAUUACAAUGAUAGUGGUUUCUUCUCUUAAAUCAAAAGUUGAUUCAGUAUCAAGUAAAUUAGCACUCAUUUUCAUUGGCAAGGCUGGAAAUGAUGGAUAGCCAUGGAUUCCAAAUCAAAGCUUUGAAUUGGUGAUGUUCAUAAGAUUACUUUUCUGUAGCAACUAGCAAUAUAUGACAUGUUUCACCUAAGUCAAGUCAUUCCCCACAUAGGCUUAUACUAUUGUCAAAGACUCCAUUAAUUUGAUGACUGUAUUCGGAUGGGCAGUGAUUGCUAAUACAAUAAAAGCAGUAUGAAAUUUGAAACAGAAAAUGUUAGAAAAAAUAAAUAAGAGAAGAGAAAUAAUAAGAAAAAAUUUUGGCUUUGAGGCGUGAAGAAAACUUUUUUAAAAGUAAUUAUACUUUUAGGAUACAAUAAAACCUCAAACUUUCUAAUUAAAAAUAAUAAAAAUAUUUGUACUGAAAAAUUUAUUUAUAAUGAAUGAACAGAUAUAAACUUUUAUUCAGAUGAUAAUGACAUUUUGUAAAAUCAUGACUUUUAUAAACAAUAAUCUAUCUAUAUUCAAAUAGUUAUGAUUAUUUAUCAUAUGAUAAUUGUUUCUGUUCAAACAUAAUUAUUUAAAAUAUGAAUAAAAUUAAUACAAAAUUAAUUUUAUUCAUCAAUAAUUAAAUUUUUCUAUCAAAUGUGAGAUGCAUCACAUUUUAAACUACUAACAAUCCCCUACUAGUUUGGAAUGUUAGUGCUAAAUUUUUACCUUUCACACAAAUAAAUAUUAUGAAUGUAAUAAUGUAUCUCUUGAUUUAAACCUUCAAUUAGCGCAUAUAUCUUAGAAUUCUAAUUAAGUUGAUGAUGUC
rnacentral:lncRNA from 1 species